UCGGUGAGCUAGGUGAGCUGCUCAGAGAUAGGACGUGGAUAAAGUGACUGAAGGGGGACACUGGGGUAUAUUGAGCAGGUGUGAGCACUGGGCAGGUGUGAGCACUGGGCAGGUGUGAGCACUGGGCAGGUGUGAGCACUGGGUAGGAGUGAGCACUGGGCAGGAGUGAGCACUGGGCAGGUGUGAGCACUGGGUAGGAAUGAGCACUGGGCAGGUGUGAGCACUGGGCAGGUGUGAGCACUGGGCAGGAGUGAGCACUGGGCAGGUGUGAGCACUGGGCAGGAGUGAGCACUGGGCAGGAGUGAGCACUGGGCAGGUGUGAGCACUGGGCAGGUGUGAGCACUGGGUAGGAGUGAGCACUGGGCAGGUGUGAGCACUGGGCAGGUGUGAGCACUGGGCAGGAGUGAGCACUGGGCAGGAGUGAGCACUGGGCAGGUGUGAGCACUGGGUAGGAGUGAGCACUGUGCAGGUGUGAGCACUGGGCAGGAGUGAGCACUGUGCAGGUGUGAGCACUGGGCAGGUGUGAGCACUGGGCAGGUGUGAGGAGCAAGACCCUCUGGCGAAGGAGGGCGGAUUCCACAGCUGACUGAAGCAAGGUCAGUCACACCUAUAACACUGGAUCUUGAAGGCUGAGGCAGGAGGUUUACCAUCAAUCAGUUCAAGGUCAGUCUGAGCUACAGAGUUAGACCCUGUCUCAUUCUACCUCACCCUACCUCUAAGGAAAAAAAGAGCCGAGUGUGUGUGUGUGUGUGUGUACUAAGUGCAGUGCUCUUAAGUAGUGUCAGAUGAAGGGUGGUAAUAGAUCAGGUGAUAAAUCCUGAAAGUGCCAAUGGCAUGUUUAUUUCCUAUAAAGACACGCUCUCUGUUUAGCUCAGGGCACUGUGGGAGCCUUUGUUCUACACAGAGAGAGGAGAGGCUGCCAGAUGCUCUGCCCACAUCAGCAAGCUUCUAUUUGCAGAGGGGCAAGGAGGAACAUAAUGUCCAUUGCAGAUUCCUGGGGAUGUUGUGACAGUCACAGAAACUUAGUGGCUCAGAUCAACGGUAUCUAAUCUCUCCUGGCUCUGGUAGUAGUCAGGGUCGUCCUAGGCUCUGGGGAAACAUCCUUCCUUGCUUCUCUCAGUUUAUGGUGGUUUCCCACAUGCCUUGGCGUUCCUUGUGUUGUGUCUCUCCAUGGCCAUCUUACUCAGAUGACAGUUACUGGAUUUAGGGUGGACUUUAAUCCAGUAUGACCUCAUCCGGUUUUGCCAAGAUCCUAUUGCCAAAUGAAGUCACGGUCACAGAAAGUGGUGAUUUGGUACAGAACAUGCCAUUCAGUGUGUGGCGCACAUAUUUCAAAUCAUGGUGUGCAAGAGGUUUUAUGGGCUAGAAGAUCCUUCUGCUCGAGUCCUCUGGCUGCAACAUUGCUAUGUGGCCAUGUGCUAAAUGUAUACAGGGCUGUGGAAGAUGCUCUCCAUGCCCAGGAGGAAGAGGAAAAGUAGUUGGAGAGCUCUUCAGCUUUGCCACACAUCCUAGCGGGUAAGAAGGGGAAGCAAAUUGGACUUCGAGGGCUGACCGGAAGGAACGGAAUGGAGCCUGUCCCAGAAGGAGUUCACCUAGGGACUGCAGGCUUGCACAGAGAACCCUGCAUAGGAAGAGAAAGCAGCUGGAGGAAGGCACAGAGACAUUUGUGUAAGUUGAGGGAACUCAGGGCGGGGUUGGUGAAGAUAUGGUGGGCUAGGCAUGACGGGUGGACUGUUGCCGAGUUGCCGAGACCAAUCACACGUGUGGAAGAAGUCAGAAUGUCCCGGGACAGACUAGAGCAGGGCGCAGAAGUCUGUGAAAUACUGAAUGUUAAGGGAAAAGAGGGCUGGGGUUUGUCUGGCUUUCCAAGCCUGUUGUCCAAUUUCCUUUAGGCAUAUCCUGGGACAUAUUUGUACGUUUGUAUACACUUGUGCACCCACAUUACACACAGAUACGUCAGGAAAACCCACGGAUGUAACUUCCCUCCCUCUGCUGAGCUCCGCUGGACAAGUGCGGUGUAGUGAUCCUGAAAGUUCCUGCUGAAAUGUUGGCUCAGCCAGAAGACUGCCUGCUGGUGGUGUAGCAAAACAGUAAUUAACACCUGGCUUAAUGCAAUUACACCUCUGCUGCCAAGAGCAGUGGCUUAGCAGAAGGUGCUGCCUGGGGCUUCCGGGUAUGACAUCAUCACUCCUGAGAGGCUCUGAGCAAAGGACUCUGCGCGCUCAGAGGCUUUGGACAGUGCUAAGGAAUACACUGAGAUAAAAAGAAAAGAGAGGCAGAGACGGCAUAUUUAACUUCCACAGUGUAGAGUGGUGCUUCGCCUGUGAUGUUUUUAGAUAUAUGUCAAAGAAAAUAAGAGGUGUCCUAGACCUGGAGCAGCCAAUGGAAGCAGAUCAAGUGUAUUUCUGGAUCAGAGAGAGGCUCAUGGACGGAUGAAGCACUCAGGAGCGACGAGGAGCUCCGAGAACAUGCAGCACUGGCCACUGGUGAAACGCAGGCAUAAAACAAGGAAUGAACAGCCCUUCACAGUCUCCAGGGCCGGAGGCAGUUAUGUAAGGUUUCAUUAUCUUUCUAUCAGUAGAGAGGAGAGGCCUAUGAGAGAAGACACCACAGACAUGUAAUUGGUUUUGAAUUUAGAAAUGUAAGUCUUGUUUAAUAUCUAGAUCCUAUCCUCAUGAAAGUUCAGACUUGCUGUAGGAAUUCACCUCUGACCUAAUAGAGAAAGCUUUAAGUUAAAUUGGAAAAUUCUGCAAACUCAGAGGGAGUGAAAGGGAUAUGAACCGGAUGCCAUCCUAGCCAAGCUUCCAAGGUGCAGGUAGAAGGGCUUGCCUGACCCCUGACCCCCCGCCUGUACGCAUUAACGUCUGCUAUGAAUGCUGUCAACACAGAUCACACACUUUCUUAAGACAGUAUAAGAGUCUUUUAUUUUAUUUUUUUUCUUUUGCAUGCGAUUUUCUUUUUCAAACUCAAUUAGUUGGACACACCUGACCCAAUGGUUGCUUGCUUGCUCUUGCAUGGGAACUAAUAGAUGGCCACACCCUUGAUCACUCCACCUCCUCCAGGAGAGUUUUAAGCAUGUCACCAUGAGUUCUCAGGAGUCUUCGAGGUCACUUUCGAAGUCUGGCAGACACUUGUUUUAAGAAAAUCAUAAUCACACUGAAUGAAGGUCUGACUCUCUGAGAGAGAUGCUUGAUCUAACAGUUAUGUUGUUUUCAACAGGGACUGUCUCCAAAAUGAAAACACAACUUCUAAAAUGGUCUUAAAACGCUGUGAACUUUAGAAAGUUGUUUUGAAAAACCAUCUUUUUCAACACUAUGGAGGAACUGGUUAGGCCCCCCAAAGUUUGAGGAGUCCUGAGGCGAUUUGAAUGGAAAUUGUCUCUGUAGACUCAUAUUUGAAUACUGGUCUCCAGCUGGGAGAACUGUUGGGAGGGAUUAGGAGGUGUGACCUUGUUGAAUGGAGGUGUGUGACUGGGUUAGGCUUUGCCUUUUCAAAAAGACUUGCACCAAUUUGGGCUUGCUCCCUCUACCUCCUAAGAGCAAGAUGGACACCCUCAGUUACAGCUCCAGUAAGCGCCGUGCUUACCACAUUCCCUGUCAUGAUGGUCACACACUCUACCUCUCCAAAACCUCCUAAAUAAACUAUUUUAUUUACCUUGGUAUCGCUGCUUUAUCACAGUUACAAAAAAGUAAUGAAGACAGACGCAGUCCAUUUACAUUGUUCUGUAGGAGCUAGGCACGGUCAUGUGUGACCAUCACCAUCCCAGCACCCGGAAAACUGAGACAGGACAAUGAGGAGGGGAAGGCAAGCCUGGGCACAUAGAUUCAGUCUCAAAGAGGAAAAGGUUUCUAAACAUAGCUAUCCACUUACUUAUACCCAUAAUGCAUUCUGGGCGGACUCUGAGGUGCCACUGAAUAUGAAGUGUGCCGGUAUUUCCCGUAUGAAUAAACAGGGAACAAAAAUGUUAACUAGAAAUUCCUGCUUUAGAGAUGUUAAAAGAGUCUUAGUGUGGAGGGAUGGGUGGAUUUAGUCUCCCAGGAUCUGGCUCUCUUACUCCAGUCCUCUCCUUCAUCACUAGGGACCUUGGGAAAGUUGCUUCUUAUAAAGUGAGAACAGCAAUUCCUACUUUUCACCCUAUUAUUGACAGAAUUAAACAUGCCCUUGUCCUGGUAUUAAGCAAGUGCCUAGCGCCUAGCUGUCUCGCUGCUGCCUGUGACUACAAUGCUUGCAGUUGUGGAAUCAAGACGCUAGUGACUCUUAACUGCCUUCCUUCAGUCUGAACAAGUUCGCCCACUCUCAGCUUCGAAACCUUGAGACAUUGUCUGAAGUCAGCAGUAAUGGAUCCUCGGUGCCGGAGCCCUCUGGAAACAAAAUGAAGUGGUCUUGUAAAAUGGAGCCAGGGUACCUUCCUGAAACGAGGAGGAGCGAAACCUGAAGAGCUGGCGACUCAAACACAGUGCACGCCCUCUCUCCUGACACUUCCAUGCUCCAGGUUCACUCCGGCUUAGAGUGAAAAUCCACCCACCAUCUGCUUUGCCGCUUGUCCCUUAAGAUCCCUGGGUAUCGAGCUGACUCGAUUACCUCUGCCUGGGAGACGUAAAGGAACUGAGUAUCCUGCAGAUGCUGCUUUUUCCCCCUUCUAUAUGGCGGAUGCGCUCAGCUAACAAGGGAAGGAAAGUCUGUCUGCUCUGCAGACCAGGCCACCUCGGAUGAGUCACCCGCCUCUGUGCACGGAGGAUGGCCACCGAGUCAGACACUGGUAAACCACAGACUCAACCAGCAGCACUUCCUGAAGGCAACCCGGAGCCUACACAAGACCUGAUGGUAAAGUAGACGGCACACAGAGAAGUGGCCCUGAAAACAGCCCCUGACCCUGGGUAGCUCCUCAAUCAAACCAGCGCAGAGCUUCUCUCAUUAUUCUGCACGUAAUUACACGGUAGGGCACACACAAGGAAAGAUUUAUUUUCACCCUGAAAACUGUCAAGUCUUAAAGGAUCAACACAUGACAGUUAUUAUCUAACAAUGAAGUAAAAUUAGCACAUAAUUAAUCAGGGCCCUGACUAAUUGCCAGGAUCUUCUCUCAGCGCCAGGCAUCACUGUGGCUAGUAUUACUAUUUUACCAGAGUCUGGAGAAUAGGUGGAUGGGUGCCUGCUGGUUCUUUCCCAAGAAUAACAAUGUUUUUAAACAGAAAUGCCUGAGAUGUAUCAUUAGUAUAUAAAGUCAGCCAUGAUGGUCUAAGAUGACGUCAGUAUCUAUCACUCAUGAAAGAGCGCAAAGUAACAUAGUAACAAGUAAGUAUUCCAUAAGUGAUCAUCGGUCCAGCUCACUAAGACACCGGUUCCCAUUGUUCUUUAUGAAUUAUGAUCCGCAUGUGGAGGCCAAACCCAACCAAUUAGCUAUAAAACCCCAACUUCGUAUUUGGACCCUGGGGUCUGAGAACCACAAACAUAAUUUAGGCUUCCUGGGUUGCAGGAUAAUUUUUUAUUCUGUGCAUCACAGCUUUAUUAAGAAAAUGGGUAUUUAUUAGACUUUUAAAAUUAGAAGCAAAUGUAAAACAUAUUUUUAUGAGCACUUAGAAAAACGAGGCCUCAUUUAAAUUAAUAACUUAAUAGGCUCUAAGAAAGAUGUCACAAAGACUGGCUGAAGACACUAUUUUCCAAGAGUGUCACUCCCCUAGGUUAACCUUUGGCAAGCCAUAAAUUCUAGAUGUCAUGUAGUCCAAUAUGUCUAUGCAUGUGGAAACUAAGGUCUGGGAAGUGGAACCCAGGAUAAAAAGCUCAAGAGAUGAACCUUGGGAAUGGACAGGUUCCUGGACAGAGAGUUUCUGGGGUGCACAGCCAUCACUUGGCUAGGCAUGGCUGCAAAGCAGCCUACUUCUCAAGGCAAAGACUGUUAAAAAAAUAUACUGGAGGCACUGAGGAGUUACAGUUUUAAAAAGGAUAAUCCAAGUAAAGAUUUUCUAGACACUGACAUGGAGUUAACUCGAGAACCUCAGGAGAGGCCUGUGGCCUAGAUGGCCAGUCACUUCCUUAGAGCCUAAGACUAGGGAAACAAACUCACAUUAAUAGACCAGGACCAAAAUAUGGAGUGACACAAGGCUGGCUCACACAUCCAGUCUUUAUGAGAGCAGACAAGAGUCACCACCUCUGCUUGCCACCCUUAACAAGUUUAGGACCUAGAACUGAACAGGAGGCCACCAUCUUGCCCUCAGUGCCAAUACACAAGCUACUGAUUUCUGCAUAGAAGUUGCUAAACUCUUGGGUUAUUUGAGGAGGGAAGUGACAGGCCAGGCCGACUGCUUCCCAUUUGCCCCACCCUUGACUGUGCCUGGCAUGCUCACCUGCACACAGUCCCUGUGCUACCUUUUCUGGUGAGAGCCAGGUGUGUUCAGCCAAUGAGAAGCCUGAUAAAACAUGGGGAGAGAAAGAACAUCUUUUUCGAGACUUCCUGCCACUCUGGCCUAGUGCUCAUUUUAGUGGUUUCCCCAGCCUUGUCCCUGUAUAGCUAGAAGGGCCAGCUCCUUCCAGAGGCUACUCCUGAUGACUCUCAUUCAUUCCUUCAUUCAUUGUGGGGACAUCUGAGCUGGUGAACCUCAGGGGCAGGGGGUAGGCAGGAACCAUGGGAUAAACAAUGUCUUAAAUACGCUGCCAUUGACUGGGCAAAAUUUUACACUGAAACCCAAGAUAGCAUUGUCUCAAACAGAAAAUCCACAUAUUCUUUCAGAAUAAAUGGACUUCUGAAAGCACUCA
rnacentral:sRNA from 1 species